rnacentral:rRNA from 1 species
GUGGGGAAUAUUGGACAAUGGGGGGAACCCUGAUCCAGCCAUGCCGCGUGUGUGAAGAAGGCCUUUUGGUUGUAAAGCACUUUAAGCGAGGAGGAGGCUACCGAGAUUAAUACUCUUGGAUAGUGGACGUUACUCGCAGAAUAAGCACCGGCUAACUCUGUGCCAGCAGCCGCGGUAAUACAGAGGGUGCAAGCGUUAAUCGGAUUUACUGGGCGUAAAGCGCGCGUAGGUGGCCAAUUAAGUCAAAUGUGAAAUCCCCGAGCUUAACUUGGGAAUUGCAUUCGAUACCGGUUGGCUAGAGUAUGGGAGAGGAUGGUAGAAUUCCAGGUGUAGCGGUGAAAUGCGUAGAGAUCUGGAGGAAUACCGAUGGCGAAGGCAGCCAUCUGGCCUAAUACUGACACUGAGGUGCGAAAGCAUGGGGAGCAAACAGGAUUAGAAACCCGUGUAGUCC